UUAAGUAGGGAAAUACCAUCUUACAGUUGUAUUUUGCUGAGGCACUGUAAUAAUUCAUGCUAGCACACAGACAGAAUUUGCUAGAAGUAGUAUUUAUUAAAUGUUAUUUUUCAGGAGUCCCAUUCAGAAAGGUUGUAAGAGGUCUGUGGAAAUUCAGGUACACAUUUUUAGUAAUUUACAGGGUGUGCUGUCUAUAGUGAGGACUGCUGGAGGGCUGGAUUGGCCAGAGGAGCAGAGUGCUGUAAUCGGGAAUUCAAUCCCAGCUAUCCGAUAAAUGAGGAGGGAUACAGAAGCUUUUUUCAAAAUUGAAGCAUACUAUAGAUGACACAUUUCUUUUCAAAGCAGGAAAUACUUACUGCGUGACCAUGUUCUUUUGGGCCUGUGCUUUGCCAGAUGCACGCUGAUUCAUUGGUGGCCAUUGUUCAUUAUACCCAUGAUUGGGAAGUGACAUUGGUUUUGGCUUAGAGAAGAGAACAAUUCCAUGUUAUGUCCAGUCAGGCACCAGACAGCUGUUGACGUGACAAAUUUUUCUUUGGAAAGUGAAUUGUUUUAUCACUUUUUGCCUAACUUAAGUCUUGUAUUUUAAUGAGAAAUGCCAGCCCAUCUGUUUUACUGGAAUGCACAUAGCUGUGGAUUAGUAGGCCAUUUUCAAUAGCACUAAUUAUUUUAAAAGCAGAUCUAGCGACAUUGAAACUGUGUCUUGAAAUGUAAUAACCUAGGAAGAGUCUUUGGUCUUGCAAAACAGUGCAAAUAGUUCUGCUCACCUUACUCUCUGUUUCUUCAGGACAGACAGGAAUUGGAGAGUAAAUACUUUUCCUCAUCUAAGACUGGAUCACAGUGUAGAAAAUGCUGAAAAACACUGUGGGCAAAUGCACUUGAAAUUGUACAGAGUUUUCGUGCUGUUCCAGGAGGGUUUGCAUUUGCUGAUAAAUCUCUCCAGAAGCUUCGACUUCAUUUGCGAUUACCUGCAGUUUCUCCAGCUUUGUAGAAUAGUCGUGGUGUAACUUGGAUUGCAGUUCAGCCAUUCGGUACCAUAUGCCCUUCAGCAAACCUAUUCUAACUGUGUCAAUCAUUACCUUGGUGUCUGUAGCACCAGCUGUUAGCGCUUUAAUCAGCUUUUCAAUUUCCUGUGUGAAAUAAAUUUAUGAAAAGUUA